GCCGGGGUCNACUCGGAGGAAGGNGGGGNUGACGUCAAAUCAUCAUGCCCCUUAUGUCUUGGGCUUCACGCAUGCUACAAUGGCCAGUACAAUGGGUUGCGAUGCCGUGAGGUGGAGCUAAUCCCAAAAAGCUGGUCUCAGUUCGGAUCGUGGUCUGCAACUCGACCACGUGAAGUCGGAGUCGCUAGUAAUCGCAGAUCAGCAACGCUGCGGUGAAUACGUUCCCGGGCCUUGUACACACCGCCCGUCAAGUCACGAAAGUUGGUAACACCCGAAGCCGGUGGCCUAACCCUUGUGGGGGGAGCCGUCGAAGGUGGGACUGGCGAUUGGGACUAAGUCGUAACAAGGUAGCCGUACCGGAAGGUGCGGC
rnacentral:rRNA from 1 species